CUCGGGCCGAGUCGGCUCCGCCCUUCGCUUGACCCGCCGGAGGCGCAGAGGUCCCGGGGCGCCCAGGUGUGCGUCCCUUCCGGCGCGCCCAAAGGCUGGGGGUCGGAAACUACGGGUAGGGGCCUGAUCCAGGGUCUCGGCAGCCUGUCGCCACGGGAGCGGCCGGGCGUGCUCCACUAGGCGAAGCGAGAUUACUUGAGCCGAAAAGCGGUUGUUAGACUUCGGGAGAGCAGGUACGGCCGUCUCGUCCUCCUCCCCCUGGCCAGCCUGGCCUCGCCCGAGGCGACACCGCAGCCUCCAGGCAGCUCGCUGAUGGGGUAAGGAGAGAAAGGGGAGGCACUGAUAAAGCACGCUUUUCACUUUUUUUGCCUUUUUGUCCCUUUGGAGAACUCGAGUCCGGCCCAUAUGCCGCUAGUUUUAGUUUCCCUUACCAAUACACUGAUGGCUUGGGUGAGCAAACUGAUAAACUCAAAAGCAGAUGUCUUACCAUUUACCUCUGAGCUGGAUCUGAAAUUGCAGCCUCCUCCUGUCACACCUGGUGCUUCCCCCAGCUCUCAGCCUGCCCAGACCUGCGUACAACUCUGAGCCUCAGCGAUCCAGGCUCCAUUAUCUUAAAACUGACUUGAAGAUGCCAGUGGUAAUUCUGAGUCUUUGCUUUCUGGUUUGUGCGGUUUUUUCCUCCCCAAGAACCUUUUGCUCUUUUCAUUAAGUCAGAGCAGGGGGGUGACCUUCAAUAAUACCUGACUUCCUCCUACUCAGUAAAUUGAGCAUACACUGAUGUUCCCUUCAGGCAGGGGACACAGCAGUACUUCUCCAGCCACUACCACAGUUUCCUUUGUGGUGACCUCAGGGACACUGCACAUCUAAUCACUGCUGAGCCUCAGCUGGAAGGGGCUGUGGUUGUAUCCAUCGGAGUCUCCCAAGUUUGAACAUGGACAACUCACAGAAAACGUAUGUUUCUUGUUUUCCAUUUUCAAAUAUGAUUAGUUCCUUAAGUAUUAAAUAUGGAAGUAGCAUAUGAUCCAAUUAUCCCACUUCUGAGUAUAUACCCCCCAGAAAAUGAAUGCAGGAACUCAAGCAGAUACUUGUACACCCAUUUUCAUAACAUUAUUCAUAGCAGAAGUUAGGGACCGUCCAGGGCCCAUCAACAGGUAGAUAAACACAACAUCCUAUGUCCAUACAAUAGGCUAUUAUUAAAAGAAAUGAAAUUCUGGCACGUGUUGCAGCAUGAAUGAACCUUGAAAACAUACUAAGUGAAAUAAGCCUGAGCCAAAGGUAGUAUUCUAGUAUGACUCUACCUUUAUGAAACAUCUAGAAUAAGCAAACUGAUAGAAAGUAGAACAGAGGUUACCAGAGGCUGGGGGAGAAAAAUAUGGGGAAUUAGUAAUUAAUGUGAAUAGAGUUUGAAUGAAAAUGAAUGAUGGUAAUGGUUGCAUAAUAUGAUGAAUAUACUUAGUGACAUCAAAUGGUGUACUUGAGAUGGUUAAAAAGGUAAAUUUUAUAUUAUAUUUUUUUUACCAUUGGAAAACACACUUAGGGCUGGUGAUAUAGCUCAGUGGUAGAGCACUUGCCUACCAAGUUAGGCAAGUGCCUAACUGCCUUGGGAGAGCUCAGUUCCCAGUACUGAAAAAAAAGGAGGGGGGGGUAUAAUCUGUUACUUUCCAAAUAAAAAGGUAAUCUCAACUUUAAAAGAAAUGUACCCAUUUUUCAAAAAAAGAAUAUAUAAGCACAUGGCAGAGAGAAUAUGAGGCCUAUGAAAUGGUACAAUUUUGGCCAGACUUUUUAAAAAAUUCAUUUUGUGACAGGAACUUGAUAAAUUGCCUAGGCUGGCUUAAAAACCUGCAGUCCUCCUGCCUCAGACUCCCAAGUAGCUGGGGUCAUAUGUGUGCCUGUAUUCCUCUUUAUAGGAAAACGUUCUGCCAUAGGCUUUUCUCUCUGUGCACCAUGGCCCUUAUUAGAAAAAAAAAUAAUAAUCCCAUGCCAGCUGUCAGAGUUAUAGCUACUACCAGACUGCUGAGGACAGGCCUAAAAGUACAUCUGCGUGGAUCAUAGAUGCACCCAGGGGACGGCAGGUGACCGCCCUGUGAGCAUCCUGGGUUCAUGCUAGUGAAACAGCUGGUUACAUGAAUGUAAGAGAUCCACACUAAUCUUUUUUGCUUUGGGUUAAGUGUGCACACUAUGGCUGUGCCAAGUGUGAGGUUGGUGGAACUUCACAUUGAGAGGCAGAACACCAACCGGUUCUUGACAGAAAGUUGCUAUAGUAGGGAAAGAUGUUUCUGUUUGUUGUUGUUUUCAAUGUACAAAUAUAGCUGAAAGUCAUUAAAAUGUCAAGUUUCUCUGACUUUGCGAAGAAGCACACAUGAGCAUCUUAAUCUUAUUUAGCUGGCAUGUCCUGGGUAAAGAAGGCAUGUGUUUUGAAACUCUUUGUUCAUAUAAUUAUCAGUUCUGAAAAUACUCAUUACUGAUUAUGUCUUUUUGAGAGCAAUUUUUAAAAGUUUAGUUUUGAAAGUAUUUUUAAGAAUAAACAUUCUGAAAUAAAUGUAUGUUUUCCAGCUCUGAAGUGUGUAAAAAAAAAACAAACAAAACAGCAUCCAUUAAUAAAUUACAGUAAGAGUUGUGGUAUUUUUCAUGCUUGUUUUCUUUUUAGAAAAAAAAUUACUUAAAAUUAUCAGCAGGGCUUAGACCCAGACACGCCUCUGCUGGAGUCUUUCUCUAAAUGCCCCCUUUCGGCUCCAAUGAAGCAAUUUCAGUUUGUUGCUCUUUUCCUAGAAGUUACUCCCCAGUACCUAGAGGGUAGAAGUUCUUUUCCAAUUAUUUCAGUAAAAAUUACUAUGAAUAAAAACAAACACACACACGAGUUUAAAUUGAUCAUGGUUAGAAAUUUUUGAGUAAAUGCCAGAAAUAAAGGAGUGAGCAGGAGAUGGGGAAGGGGUACAGACAGCGAUGGGCCAGGCAGGUGUGGCCUGGGGAGAAACACGGCCGAGUGGUGGGGCAGAGGCCCUGAACUGUGCAGCCCUGGCAGACAGAGACACUUGAAGACAGGAAGAAAGACGCCCCUUUGCAGGAAUGCUUCUGGAAACUGAGCUAGCAUUCUCCCUUGGGUACCUCAACCCACUUUCUUUUCAUUCUCCUUUCUACCUUCACUCCAUGUUUCCUUCCUUGCCUCAAACUCCUGCCUCCCUCCCUUCCUUAGGUAGGCUUUCACCAGCCUUUCAAAAGUCAGGACAAGCUUCUGGUCUCUCUUUUUUUUGGAGCGCCCUGUUUAGGGCUGGCGGGGAGGAAGGAUUCAGCUGCUUGAGUACCAGGUCCAAAGAAGCCAAGGGUCAGCCACCGGCCACCAGCCUGGACUCAACUUUGUCCUAUGUGCAUUUCCAGCCCUUUUGUAGAACAUGGCCUGUCAUAUUCAGUUGCUACUGGAGCAGAAUUAGAAAUCUUCACCCAGAAUCAGAAGAAUUGUGUUCUAGGCCUCAGUGCCAUCAACUAGCUGAGCAAUGGGCAUCUGCCUGCUGCCACUAUCUGGAGCUGUUUGCUCACUUGGAAAGUGAAGGGUCUCAUUCCUGCCAGAGCUGGGGCUCUGAUUGCUACUUGUGAGGUCAGGUGUGUUCGGCACUUCCCAGUAGCUCCCGGGCACAUAGCCUGAUCUACCAACUGAAAACUACUCUUCAAGAAAUCAGUGCCCUCAUGUAGAGCAUGGGAGGCCUGUUUGGACAUGCUCUCUGUGUGGGGAAGCUGAGGGCCUGUCUCACUGGUGCACUCUGGAAAUGCCCACUCCUCCUCCUUAAAGGAUGGCCCAAAGGGCUUCCAUCAGCUGCCUGGCUGAUGCACUCAGAUUAGCUAAUCCUCAAUCACAGGGAGUUCUUCAUUCCACCAAACCCAAGAGCCUUUGGUAGUUUCUCUUAUCCCAGCUUUGGGGAGCUUAGUCACAUAUCAGAGACUGUGAUUAAAACACGAUGCCCGCAGUGCCCACCAGGUUCUUCUUAGGUUCAGUGACAUAUUCAGACUCAUAAGCCUCCCAGACACCUCAUUGGGCUUUCAGUGACUCAGAAUAGUGAAGGGAAGAAUCACUGCCGGCCAUAGUGGAGCAUCAAGAGUUCAUCCCCACCCAUGCCCUACAAGUGUCAACACAGGACUCGGGGGUCCAUUGAUGUGUACCAUUUUAUGCAUCAAUUAAAAAUAAGUAAAUAAAUUAAAAGUUCACAUCAUGGGUGCUCUGGUAGCAGUCAGCUUAGGUAUAAGGAGUUGAUAUCCACAUCGGACGGGUGUAGUCCCUGCCUGUUGUAGAAGUCAGUGUCUUUUGUGGUAACUCCACAGGUGUAACAUUCCAGGUUCAUCACAAAAGGCAAGCCCAGCUCAAAAAGUCACCACACUCAGGCCUUAAAAAUGGUUUCCUGCCAUGUAUUUAUAGUUUAUACAUUCAACACUGUAAAACAUGCCUUAUUCCCCUGAUUUGGACAACAAAUGAUAGCACCAAAACUUCCUGAAUCCGAGGUCCACUGUUCCUUCAGUAUUUCACGGCUGCCUCCUCUUGAAUGGAAUUCCUAAUGUGCAUGUGACUAUGGCAGACUCUUCACAUGGUUUAGGUGUAUUGAAAAGAUAUAAUAUCCUAAUGUUUUCUAAAGCACAAUAGCAUUUCUCAUCAAAUCAUUGGUUUUACUUGUGAUUGUUUCAGAAAAUACGUGCAGGUUAGCUCAACAGAUGCAUCUGAGAAUACCUGGCACCUAGU
rnacentral:lncRNA from 1 species